AUUGAACGCUGGCGGCAGGCUUAACACAUGCAAGUCGAACGAGUGGCGGACGGGUGAGUAAUGUUUGGGAAUCUGGCUUAUGGAGGGGGAUAACUACGGGAAACUGUCGCUAAUACCGCGUACCAUAGGCUGGGCCCAAAUGGGAUUAGGAUGUUGGUGGGGUAAAGGCCUACCAAGCUGACGAUCCCUAGAUGGUCUGAGAGGAUGACCAGCCACACUGGGACUGAGACACGGCCCAGACUCCUACGGGAGGCAGCAGUGGGGAAUAUUGCGCAAUGGGGGAAACCCUGACGCAGCCAUGCCGCGUGGAUGAAGAAGGCCUUCGGGUUGUAAAGUACUUUCGGUAGUGAGGCGUUAAAUGCAGAAGAAGCACCGGCUAACUCCGUGCCAGCAGCCGCGGUAAUAC
rnacentral:rRNA from 1 species